UAAAUAUUAGUUUAUAAAAACAUUGAUUUGUGGAAUCAAAAAUCUAAAAUAUUAUUUUUAU
rnacentral:tRNA from 1 species